rnacentral:rRNA from 1 species
UACGGGGGGAGCAAGCGUUGUUCGGAUUUACUGGGCGUAAAGGGCGCGUAGGCGGCUCCGCAAGUCGACUGUGAAAUCUCCGGGCUUAACUCGGAAAGGUCAGCCGAUACUGCGGGGCUAGAGUGCAGAAGGGGCAACUGGAAUUCUCGGUGUAGCGGUGAAAUGCGUAGAUAUCGAGAGGAACACCUGCGGCGAAGGCGGGUUGCUGGGCUGACACUGACGCUGAUGCGCGAAAGCGUGGGGAGCAAACAGG